CUCCUUACAAGGAUUCUGUACUCAGAAUCACAAUUCAAACAACUCAUUCGUCACAACACUUAUCUAAGUUCUCAAUAAAAUUAUUUUCAUACUAUUUAAGGAGAACCUCAACAGCUAUAGACCACUGUGCUAUUCUCCUGUUACCCCCGCUCGACCCAGUUACAAUCUUAUUACCUGAAAGGAAUUGUGAAACAAAAAGGGUAAGCACAACUAGCCCAGUAAAGAAUAUCAUGACUAAAAAUAAUUUACAUCAUCAAUAGCCUUCAUCAGUAAUAAAUCAGAGAUUUAGAACAUAUGGUAGAUGAUAAAACUUUUCAACCAUUGUUGCAGCGGAACGAGCAAUCCAUUAGAAGAGUCAAAUAGACCAUCAGAUCUAUUAUCUUCUCCAUGUUAAAAGUCCACCAAUAAUGUUUUAUCCCUGUAACAUCAAUCAAUAAUUCAUGUCCACAAUCAUAUGAAUAACUCAUAAUCAUAAUUGUGAUUCUAAAUUCCUCUUCGCACCCAGGACGAAGAUAAUUUUCAUCACCUAU
rnacentral:lncRNA from 1 species